UACAGAGGGUGCGAGCGUUAAUCGGAAUUACUGGGCGUAAAGCGUGCGUAGACGGUUAUCUAAGUCGGAUGUGAAAGCCCCGGGCUCAACCUGGGAAUUGCGAUGAAGACUGCAAGGCUUGAAUCUGGCAGAGGGGGGUAGAAUUCCACGUGUAGCAGUGAAAUGCGUAGAGAUGUGGAGGAACACCGAUGGCGAAGGCAGCCCCCUGGGUCAAGAUUGACGCUCGAUGCACGAAAGCGUGGGGAGCAAACAGG
rnacentral:rRNA from 1 species